ACGAACACUGGCGGCGCGCCUAUCACAUGCAAGUCGAACGAGCGAGAGAGAGCUUGCUUUCUUGAGCGAGUGGCGAACGGGUGAGUAACGCGUGAGGAACCUGCCUCAAAGAGGGGGACAACAGUUGGAAACGACUGCUAAUACCGCAUAAGCCCACGGUGCCGCAUGGCACAGAGGGAAAAGGAGCAAUCCGCUUUGAGAUGGCCUCGCGUCCGAUUAGCUAGUUGGUGAGGUAACGGCCCACCAAGGCGACGAUCGGUAGCCGGACUGAGAGGUUGAACGGCCACAUUGGGACUGGGACACGGCCCAGACUCCUACGGGAGGCAGCAGUGGGGAAUAAUGCACAAUGGGGGAAACCCUGAUGCAGCGACGCCGCGUGGAGGAAGAAGGUCUUCGGAUUGUAAACUCCUGUUGUUGGGGAAGAUAAUGACGGUACCCAACAAGGAAGUGACGGCUAACUACGUG
rnacentral:rRNA from 1 species